rnacentral:rRNA from 1 species
UGCGGAAGAGAUAAGUGCUGAAAGCAUCUAAGCACGAAACUUGCCAAGAGAUGAGUCAUCCCUGACUUUAAGUCAGUAAGGGUUGUUGUAGACUACGACGUAGAUAGGUCUGGUGUGUAAGUGUAGUGAUACAUUGAGCUAACAGAUACUAAUUGCCCGAGAGGCUUAACUAUACAACGCUCAAG